rnacentral:rRNA from 1 species
GGUUAAGCGACUAAGCGUACACGGUGGAUGCCCUGGCAGUCAGAGGCGAUGAAGGACGUGCUAAUCUGCGAUAAGCGUCGGUAAGGUGAUAUGAACCGUUAUAACCGGCGAUUUCCGAAUGGGGAAACCCAGUGUGUUUCGACACACUAUCAUUAACUGAAUACAUAGGUUAAUGAGGCGAACCGGGGGAACUGAAACAUCUAAGUACCCCGAGGAAAAGAAAUCAACCGAGAUUCCCCCAGUAGCGGCGAGCGAACGGGGAGCAGCCCAGAGCCUGAAUCAGUGUGUGUGUUAGUGGAAGCGUCUGGAAAGGCGCGCGAUACAGGGUGACAGCCCCGUACACAAAAAUGCACAUGCUGUGAGCUCGAUGAGUAGGGCGGGACACGUGGUAUCCUGUCUGAAUAUGGGGGGACCAUCCUCCAAGGCUAAAUACUCCUGACUGACCGAUAGUGAACCAGUACCGUGAGGGAAAGGCGAAAAGAACCCCGGCGAGGGGAGUGAAAAAGAACCUGAAACCGUGUACGUACAAGCAGUGGGAGCACGCUUAGGCGUGUGACUGCGUACCUUUUGUAUAAUGGGUCAGCGACUUAUAUUCUGUAGCAAGGUUAACCGAAUAGGGGAGCCGAAGGGAAACCGAGUCUUAACUGGGCGUUAAGUUGCAGGGUAUAGACCCGAAACCCGGUGAUCUAGCCAUGGGCAGGUUGAAGGUUGGGUAACACUAACUGGAGGACCGAACCGACUAAUGUUGAAAAAUUAGCGGAUGACUUGUGGCUGGGGGUGAAAGGCCAAUCAAACCGGGAGAUAGCUGGUUCUCCCCGAAAGCUAUUUAGGUAGCGCCUCGUGAAUUCAUCUCCGGGGGUAGAGCACUGUUUCGGCAAGGGGGUCAUCCCGACUUACCAACCCGAUGCAAACUGCGAAUACCGGAGAAUGUUAUCACGGGAGACACACGGCGGGUGCUAACGUCCGUCGUGAAGAGGGAAACAACCCAGACCGCCAGCUAAGGUCCCAAAGUCAUGGUUAAGUGGGAAACGAUGUGGGAAGGCCCAGACAGCCAGGAUGUUGGCUUAGAAGCAGCCAUCAUUUAAAGAAAGCGUAAUAGCUCACUGGUCGAGUCGGCCUGCGCGGAAGAUGUAACGGGGCUAAACCAUGCACCGAAGCUGCGGCAGCGACGCUGAUGCGUUGUUGGGUAGGGGAGCGUUCUGUAAGCCUGCGAAGGUGUGCUGUGAGGCAUGCUGGAGGUAUCAGAAGUGCGAAUGCUGACAUAAGUAACGAUAAAGCGGGUGAAAAGCCCGCUCGCCGGAAGACCAAGGGUUCCUGUCCAACGUUAAUCGGGGCAGGGUGAGUCGACCCCUAAGGCGAGGCCGAAAGGCGUAGUCGAUGGGAAACAGGUUAAUAUUCCUGUACUUGGUGUUACUGCGAAGGGGGGACGGAGAAGGCUAUGUUGGCCGGGCGACGGUUGUCCCGGUUUAAGCGUGUAGGCUGGUUUUCCAGGCAAAUCCGGAAAAUCAAGGCUGAGGCGUGAUGACGAGGCACUACGGUGCUGAAGCAACAAAUGCCCUGCUUCCAGGAAAAGCCUCUAAGCAUCAGGUAACAUCAAAUCGUACCCCAAACCGACACAGGUGGUCAGGUAGAGAAUACCAAGGCGCUUGAGAGAACUCGGGUGAAGGAACUAGGCAAAAUGGUGCCGUAACUUCGGGAGAAGGCACGCUGAUAUGUAGGUGAAGUCCCUCGCGGAUGGAGCUGAAAUCAGUCGAAGAUACCAGCUGGCUGCAACUGUUUAUUAAAAACACAGCACUGUGCAAACACGAAAGUGGACGUAUACGGUGUGACGCCUGCCCGGUGUCGGAAGGUUAAUUGAUGGGGUUAGCCGCAAGGCGAAGCUCUUGAUCGAAGCCCCGGUAAACGGCGGCCGUAACUAUAACGGUCCUAAGGUAGCGAAAUUCCUUGUCGGGUAAGUUCCGACCUGCACGAAUGGCGUAAUGAUGGCCAGGCUGUCUCCACCCGAGACUCAGUGAAAUUGAACUCGCUGUGAAGAUGCAGUGUACCCGCGGCAAGACGGAAAGACCCCGUGAACCUUUACUAUAGCUUGACACUGAACAUUGAGCCUUGAUGUGUAGGAUAGGUGGGAGGCUUAGAAGUGUGGACGCCAGUCUGCAUGGAGCCGACCUUGAAAUACCACCCUUUAAUGUUUGAUGUUCUAACGUGGACCCGUAAUCCGGGUUGCGGACAGUGUCUGGUGGGUAGUUUGACUGGGGCGGUCUCCUCCUAAAGAGUAACGGAGGAGCACGAAGGUUGGCUAAUCCUGGUCGGACAUCAGGAGGUUAGUGCAAUGGCAUAAGCCAGCUUGACUGCGAGCGUGACGGCGCGAGCAGGUGCGAAAGCAGGUCAUAGUGAUCCGGUGGUUCUGAAUGGAAGGGCCAUCGCUCAACGGAUAAAAGGUACUCCGGGGAUAACAGGCUGAUACCGCCCAAGAGUUCAUAUCGACGGCGGUGUUUGGCACCUCGAUGUCGGCUCAUCACAUCCUGGGGCUGAAGUAGGUCCCAAGGGUAUGGCUGUUCGCCAUUUAAAGUGGUACGCGAGCUGGGUUUAGAACGUCGUGAGACAGUUCGGUCCCUAUCUGCCGUGGGCGCUGGAGAACUGAGGGGGGCUGCUCCUAGUACGAGAGGACCGGAGUGGACGCAUCACUGGUGUUCGGGUUGUCAUGCCAAUGGCACUGCCCGGUAGCUAAAUGCGGAAGAGAUAAGUGCUGAAAGCAUCUAAGCACGAAACUUGCCCCGAGAUGAGUUCUCCCUGACUCCUUGAGAGUCCUGAAGGAACGUUGAAGACGACGACGUUGAUAGGCCGGGUGUGUAAGCGCAGCGAUGCGUUGAGCUAACCGGUACUAAUGAACCGUGAGGCUUAACCUU